rnacentral:lncRNA from 1 species
AUGGGGCGCAAUUGGAUAGCUGCACUCACCCGGGUGAGACAUGGGGAUGACCUCAUUGCGGGUCCCCGGGAAGUUAAAGAUGACGGCUCCAGACGCCCCUCUCUCGUAAGCCAGAUGGAUUUUGUCUGCGAAGGUGCAACCCCCACCGCGCUGGAUGAGGGCCAACCAAGACACUUGCACGCUGCUGCCCCAGUCCCCCGGGACCGUGGGCACCGUGAAAUUCGUGUGCGGGUUACAGGCAUUGAGCGCCCCCGGCCCGUCGGGCGGUACCAGGACCCCAGCCACGGGCUCGAGCGGCGAAUCCUGGCCGUACACGCCCUCCUCGCUCAGCUCCCACACGGUGCGGUUCACUCCGGUGUGCGGAACCCGCCAGGACACGUUGAGGUACGCGGUCCACACGGCUUCGGCUCCCCUGGAGCCGGGGGUUUGCGGACUCAGAACCAGCAGGAAGCACCAGGCCAGCAAUCGGGAAAAGCCACAACCACCGCGGCAGAAGACCCCGGCCCCCGGCAGCGGCCCCAUGGUAUGCGCGCUCUGAGGUUCCCUAGGGCCCCUCGCACGCGCCUUCCCGACUCUCGGCGGGACCCCGGCCCGGGCCAGGUGCGCGCCAGGUAGGGAGAGGACGGGGAGAGACUGGCGCGCGCGGCGGGCUGGGUCAGAGCCGGCGGGCACGGAGCGCGCGCCGCCGGGGCCGCGCGGGGCUCGGGGGUUGUGGCGCGAAGCCCCGCCCCGCCGACCGGGGGUAGAGGUGGCUGGGAGGGAGGAAAGGACACUGCGGGACCGCCUCUUAAAAGGGUAGCAGGAAGGGAAGGCUUUAGACUAAGAUCGGAAGCUGUGUGGUCAGGUGUGUCGAGUCGUAGUAUGAAAAACGGACAGGUGAGGAACUGUGGAAUCAGCGCGAACAGAAACGCUCGCUG